CCUACGGGAGGCUGCAGUAGGGAAUCUUCCACAAUGGGCGAAAGCCUGAUGGAGCAACGCCGCGUGGGUGAAGAAGGUCUUCGGAUCGUAAAACCCUGUUGUUAGAGAAGCAAGUGCGUGAGCGUAACUGUUCACGUUUCGAAGGUAUCUAACCAGCAAGCCACGGCUAACUACGGGCCAGCAGCCGCGGUAAUACGGAGGUGGCAAGCGUUAUCCGGAUUUAUUGGGCGUAAAUGGAACGCAGGCGGUCUUUUAAGCAUGAUGGGAAAGCCUUCGGCUUAACCGGAGUAGUGCAUUGGAAACUGGGAGACUUGAGUGCAGAAGAGGAGAGUGGAACUCCAGGUGUAGCGGUGAAAUGCGUAGAUAUAUGGAAGAACACCAGUGGCGAAAGCGGCUCUCUGGUCUGUAACUGACGCUGAGGUUCGAAAGCGUGGGUAGCAAACAGGAUUAGAUACCCCAGUAGUC
rnacentral:rRNA from 1 species